rnacentral:rRNA from 1 species
GACAGAGGGUGCAAACGUUGUUCGGAAUUACUGGGCGUAAAGCGCGUGUAGGCGGCAGGGCAAGUCGGAUGUGAAAGCCCACGGCUCAACCGUGGAAGUGCACCCGAGACUGCCUCGCUAGAGUCUCGGAGAGGAAGGUGGAAUGCUUGGUGUAGAGGUGAAAUUCGUAGAUAUCAAGCGGAACACCGGUGGCGAAGGCGGCCUUCUGGACGAUGACUGACGCUGAGACGCGAAAGCGUGGGGAGCAAACAGG